AUGGGAGGGAGGAGCUCAUUGUGGAUGCGCGGUGCUGGGGGAGAAAACACGAGAGAAGGAGACUGGCUGCUGGUGGCCUGUGGGUCGUGCCACCAGCGGUGGUGGGUGGCGCACCGACCAGAUCAGGUUGGACCUGCGCGCGUAGCUCCACUCUUCCGCCUCCACCCAGACGCGCGCGCGGCUCCACUCUGCUGUCAAGCAAGUAGAUCGGGCGGGAGCUCCUCUGCUCAGUUGAGGCUGCUCGGAGGUGGGGACAACACCGCCGCCCGCCUGGAACAACGACGACGACACAGCUACUCGAGGCGAUGGCGGGAUCUUCUUUCCAUGGAUGGGCAUGGCGACGACAUCCUGCGGACCUCGGCGGCGGUGGGAAACAAGGAGCACGGGCCGAUGGACCUCGACGGCGGCGCCUGGUGGAGGUUCGCACGGGGGUAA
rnacentral:rRNA from 1 species